ensembl:lncRNA novel transcript
AGGCCUUGGGUUACACUCUGAUGAUGCCAGGAUAAUCAGACCAGCCUCUGGGAGACCCUCCCCACCAGGCAACAGCUGUCCCUCAUCCUCCCAGCUCUGUUCCCAUCUGGCCUGGGGAAGUGAGCUUAAGGAUUUUUCCGGAAACGAGGAGAGGUCAGCAUGCUGAAGUGUUUGGAAGGCAUCCGACGGAAUGACGGCUGAGGCCCUCACUCUCCACUGAACUCUGCUUGCGGCUGGGGACUGCUCUGUGUCUGCACGUGUUCGCAUUUAUUAAAUGUGGAGGUGCAAAACAAAACAAAACAAAACAAAA